rnacentral:rRNA from 1 species
UAGGGAAUAUUGGACAAUGGGGGCAACCCUGAUCCAGCCAUGCCGCGUGAGUGAAGAAGGCCCUCGGGUUGUAAAGCUCUUUUGUCCGGAAAGAAAAGCAUUCGGUGGAUACCCGGAUGUUCUGACGGUACCGGAAGAAUAAGCACCGGCUAACUUCGUGCCAGCAGCCGCGGUAAUACGAAGGGUGCAAGCGUUAUCCGGAAUUAUUGGGUUUAAAGGGUGCGUAGGCGGACUAAUAAGUCAGUGGUGAAAGCCUGCAGCUUAACUGCAGAAUUGCCAUUGAUACUGUUAGUCUUGAGUACAGUUGAGGUAGGCGGAAUGUGUCAUGUAGCGGUGAAAUGCUUAGAUAUGACACAGAACACCGAUUGCGAAGGCAGCUUGCUAAGCUGUAACUGACGCUGAGGCACGAAAGCGUGGGGAGCAAACA